UGCCAAUCUCCCUCUAUGUUACGUGGGAUGUCGCCAUAGCUAACAUCUGUGCCAAUCUCCCUCUAUGUUAUGUGGGAUGUCGCCAUAGCUAACAUCUGUGCCAAUCUCCCUCUAUGUUAUGUGGGAUGUCGCCACAGCUAACAUCUGUGCCAAUCUCCCUCUGUGUUAUGUGGGAUGUCGCCACAGCGUGGCUUGACGAGUGGUGCUAGGUCUGUGCCCGGGAUCCAAACCUACGAACCCUGGGCCUCCAAAGCAGAGCGUACAAACUUAACCACUAUGCCACCAAGGUGGCCCCGGGACUUAUUUUUCUUAAUAGACAAGUUCUGUAUUGGCUGUUUUCAGGUAAUAAAUACGUCUAAAAAAUGCAUUCAAGGGCCAGCCCUGAUGGCCUGGUGGUUAAAGUUCUGCAUGCUCCACUUUGGCAGCCUGGGUUCGGUUCUUGGGCGCAGAACCACACCACUCGACUGUCAGUAGCCAUGCUGUGGUGGUCCUCACAUAGAAGAAGUGGAAGGACUAACAACCAGAAUAUACAGCUAUGUACUGGGGCUUUGGGGAGGAAAAAAAAGAAAAAGGAAGAUUGGCAACAGAUGUUAGCUCAGAGCAAAUCUUUCCCAGCAAGAAGAAAUAAAUAAAAUACUCAUUCAAAACAAAUAGUGCAUCUAAGAUAUUUUCUGAACUUUUCCAUUACCUCAGUUGAAGAAAGAGUGUGGUCUUAAACACAAGGGUCACAGCUCCUGUCCUGUGCCACCUGCCCACAAAGCCUGUGAUUGUUAAGGAAUGAACACUUGCAUAACUGUAAAAAAUUUUGCAUCAGCUUAAAUUGCAAGAUUGAAGAUAGGAUGAGUCCUCAGGCAUUUGGAUUCUUCUCUUUUUCUUUUAUCAUUUUCUUUGAAUUGCAAAGAAUAAUUAUUAGUUCAAGUCAGUCUCUUAAAAAAUUGUAUGCAUCAAUCACGAGCAAGACUUAAUCCGCUUGCUCAGUGCAAUCCGGUAAGAAAUUUACACACCCACCUAUUCUCAGCAUCGUACUGCACUGGGUAAAUAGCAAGAAUUUCCGCUUCUUCAUUAUUCCCAGAUGGUGCUGGCUGAUCCUAUCCCUGACAGCCACACACGUGUUCCGGUAGAAGCACAGCUUGGUUAUAUAAUCCUGUCUUGUGACCUCUAAAUCACAUGCUCUGCGUCUGCACCCAUUCAAGCUGCGGUUACCAUCCUCCUGUUGUUUCAGACAUGUCUUUGUGUUGCUGCCCUGCGGGUCUGAAGGUGGUGCCGUUAUGUGGAGCUCCAGGUGUGCCGGUGGGAUGGAAGGAUCAGGUGGUGUGGGCCUUCUCUGCCCCUCAGCACACACCUGAAUCAGCUUUUUAUUUGCCAUGACUACAUGCAAGGUCCAGUCGCAUCUGUAGCGUUGCUCCCGCCAAACAAACUAGCAGGGGUUGUGGUCUCUCGGGUUACACUUUUCUUCCCCAGGGGUUCUGGAUUUGAGAAGCCUGUGGAGAGUAGACCAUGGCUCCUCGAUGCUGCUGCUGAAACUGCUCAAAAGCCGGAGAUGGCAGUAAUGAUGACAUUAAUUGUGGCAAAGAUGGUAAUUUAUGACUGUAAUAGUGAGAUAUUAAGAGUACUAAUGAUGGGGACGGCCCUGUGGCACGCUUCACUUCGGCGGCCUGGGUUUCCGCUGGUUUGGAUCCCGGGUGCAGACAUGACACUGCUCAUCAAGCAUGCUGAGGCGGCGUCCCACAUAGCAGAGCCAGAGGCACUCACAACUAGGAUAUACAGCUAUGUACUGGGGGAGCUUUGGGGAGAAGAAGAAGAAGAAGAAAAAAGAAGAUUGGCAACAGGUGUUAGCUCAGGUGCCAACCUUUGAAAAAAAGAAUGCUAAUGCCAAUAGUGAUAAUUAGUAUUAUUCCCUCACUUCCUAAUUAUAGGUACUUUUCUCACUUCCUGUAGGUCUUAUUUAAAAGUCUCCAUCUCGGGGAGGCCCUCGAAGCUCACUUCGUCUGAAGUUUCAUUCCUUCCUCCAGCAUUUUGUAUCUCCUUUCCCAGCUUGUUUAUUCUCCUUAGCAUUUACCACUAUCAGAUAGGCUAUACAUUUUGAGUUAUUUAUUUUGUUUACUGUUUGUGUCCCCCGCUGGAACGUAAGGUCCUUGAGCAGGGACUUCUGUCUCUCUUGAUCAUUUACCACGUCUACAGGGCCCAGAACAGUGCCUGGCAUAUGGCAAGGUUUGAAAUUAUUAGAUGGUCAAUGAGUGAGUGAUAAUAGUUUAUGUUUCUUGAACACUUACUGUAUCCUAGAUACUGUGCUGAAUGCCUCACCUAGAUGGCCUCAUUUCAACCCUUGACUCUUGCCCCAUGCAGCCCCUCCUAAUUAUUACUCUGUCUCAAGCAUCUUCUCUCAUCCAGACUUCUUUGGAGAAGCGCCUACACUUGGUUCCUCAGCUCCCAGGCACUGCUCUCCCCACUGCUGUCCGGCUUCCUCGCUGCUGCUGUGUGCACUGUUCUCUAGUCGGUUACCAGUGACUUCCUGAUCGCCGGAUCAAGCAAUAUAAUUUUAGCCCUUAUGUUACUGAUCUUUUCAGUUCAGUUGUCCGUCACUCCCGCCUUCUGGAAGCUCAUUUCUUGUCACCUCUGGUGACACCUCCUGGGUUUUUCUGUCUGAUGUUUCCUUUUUUGUCCCCAUCAUGAGCAUGUUCAGGCCUGUCCCGUGAGUGCUAACAUGCCUGCUUUUGUCACCCACUCACUGCUCUCCUUAUUCUGUGUACACUCCCAAAGCCACCUCCUCCAUUCUGCUCACUCCGCCUGCACCCUGAUGUUUGUAGCACCCAAGUCUCUCUCUAACCCUUGUUUUAUUCUGCCUGCUCUAUGUUUUUGCGUGGACAUCUAAGGCCAUCCCACAUUCAGUUUAUUCAAAACCUAGCUUUCCCCAUAACCUGCUUAGUAUAUGCCUGUAUUCUCUGCCCAAUUGAUGACACCGCAGUUCAGCCAGUGACCCAAGCUGCAAACCAGGGAUCCAGCGCUCUUCUUCCGGCAGGAAGCUCCGGUCCGUCUGCUCCGCUCCCUGCCUGCUGUGACUCCCUGGUCCGAGCCCUCAGGUGCUCAUCCAGACCACGACUGCAGCAGCCUCCUAACUGUUCUCCUGCUCCCUGUCUUGUCCUCCUCAGAUCCAUCCUCCACGUAGCUGUGAGCUCUCACUAACGUGACCAAGGCACCGACUGCUGCCGGGGCCUUGCCGUGCUUCCCCUCCCAGGGAACACACGGGCACGUUCACCAGGGUUUCCGGUGCCUUGACCAAGAUCCGCUUUCACAGGGGCUUUUGGCUGGUUCCGAAAGCACACCUGAUCCACAGUGGGCGUGUGUUCCUAAGAUCGACCAGGGCAGAAGCCUCUGGAAAGAGAUACAAAUACGUGAGAAUUGCAAUCAUUGGAAAAUAGCGAGGCCUAACAUAUUACCAAAAAAAGUUACGCAAGAAAGUAUUUACAAGACAAAAUAGGAAAGAAAUUACAAAAUGGGAAAGAAAUUACAAAACUCAGACCAAAAAAAAAAAGAACUGUAUGUGAAGGGAGCUCAGGUAAUAAAGAGGAAGGGCAGGCCCUAAGUGUGACGGUGACGUUGCUGGGACUUGCCAGCAGGGGGCAGGCCAGAGCAGCGACCCUUUUAUUGGCAUAGUGUUUUGGAUUUUUAAAAAUUUUAUUAUUUAUUUAUUUAUUCUUUGUUUUUAAUUUUCCUUCUUCUCCCCAAAGGUCCCCAGUACAUAGUUAUGUAUUCUGGUUGUGGGUCCUUCUGGUUGUGCCAUGUGGGACGCCGCCUCAGCAUGGCCUGAUGAGCGGUGCCAUGUCUGCGCCCAGGAUCCGAACUGGUGAAAUCCUGGGCCACCAAAGCAGGGCACGCAAACUUAACCACUCGGCCAGGGGGCCAACCCAGCCCCUUCGCAUAGUGUUUUUUUAAGAUUCAUUGUAAAACAGAAAAGUAAAGGAGAAAACAAAAAUAACCUAUAAUUCCACUAACCAAAAUAACCACUCUUAUUUCCUCUUAGAUUUUUUAUAUAUAUAUAGUUGAGAUGAUGCUAUUUAUGCAGUUUUUACCCUGACUUUAUAUCACAGGCAUAUCAUAAUGCUCUUCAAAACUUCGUGAACUUUUAUUUUAAUCGCUCUCUAAUGCUCCAUCGUAUUCUUUUUGUUUUUUUCUGCUUUGUCUCCCCAAAUCCCUGGUACAUAGUUGUGUAUUUUAGUUGCAGGUCCUUCCAGUUGUGGCAUAUGGGACGCCGUCUCAACGUGCCUGAUGAGCAGUGCCAUGUCCGCGCCCAGGAUCCGAACCAGCGAAACCCUGGGCCGCCACAGCAGAGCACGCGAACUUAACCACUCGGCCAUGGGGUGGCCCCUCCAUCAUAUUCUUGUCCAUGUUUAUCCUCAUGUUGUCAUUUUUCGGUUUUUUUGUUUUGUUAAGAUAAGAUGUAGAUAGGAUAUCUCUGAAGCUUUGUCACAUUCGACUGGAAGCAAAGGCUACUGGAUCUGAUGGCCAGAAGGUCGGGCUGGGCCAGGGGUGGAGACCGUGGCGGCCUGAACAGGUCCGUGCUCUGUUGGAUGUGUUGAGUGUGAAGAGAAAGAAAGACAUGAGGAAGUAGUUUGAUGCGGUAGAUUUUUUAGAGUGUAUGUUUACACACGUGGGGCAGGAUCCAGUGGUGGGGAGAAAACCGGAGCAGAGAGGGGGAAGGCUCAUUGAUGAGCGGGUCCUGCGGGAGACGGGGGAAGAGGCACUGACAGCCCUCGGGGAGGCUGAGCUCUGGAAUGCAGAGGAAGAUGUAGAAAGGAAGAAAGGAUGGCGAUCAAGAGAAAGUUUCAGUGGAACCCGCGUCCUCGUCUCAUUUACAACACCAGUAUUUGGAGCUGUGGGGUUGGCGGAACAUGUAUGUUACAUUUUCUAUGAUAAAAUAAUGUUAACCUACAUUUGGUAGCCUUUAGGCUUUUUAUAAGCCAGCAAGGGUGUGGAGUGAACCAUUAGAAACAGUGAUGUGAUUUUUAUUGAGAAGAAACGAGGUGAAAGUGAGGGCUGGCCUCCGACCUCAGCUGUGACUGAGGAUUAGCUUAGCGUGUGUGACGAAGGCCUGUCUUAGAGCGUCCCCAGAGUUUUAGCUCCUGUGACCAUCCCCGAGCGAGGGACUUGACUUGAUAACACGGACAGGCGGUGGCGUUCCUGAGAAACACCAGGGAACAGUUACAUCUUUAGCUCCCCAGGUUCUGCCACGGCGCGUUUUCUGGCCUGAACAUAUCGACCUGAGCCUAAGUGCAGACACUUCAGCCAGCCUCCUGGUUAAGCUAUGUCGUUUUUUUCCUCUUCCGAGUCUCCAGAAGGCCCAGAACAUACUCUGGGGUCAGUGGUUUCGUGGGGGCACUUGAAACAACAUAAACAAUACAGUGAUGGUGAUUAACUCUGUGUGGGAUGUACCGCUUCAGAUGCCUUCACAGAGCAGAGAGGCAGCAGAGCUUUGCUACCAGCACAGACUCCGGAAUCAGACAUCCUGGAUUCAGACACUCUCUGUGUGACCUGGGAGUUCAUUCUGGUUCCUCUAAGCCUUAGCUUUCUCGCCUCUAAAGUGAAAGUCCCGCCACCCACCACAGAGGAACCUGUCACAACGAUUAAACGAGAGAACCCGUGUCUGUUCAUUCAGCAAGUGUUUGUGAACACCUCUGUGCCUGGCCCUGAACAGCCUAGACGAAAACUUCAGACUUGUAGCUGGAGAGACAGACCGUAAGAACUGGCUGUGAGGGGCUGGCCCGGUGGUGUAGUGGCUAAGUUUGCGUGCUCUGGUUUGGCAGCCUGGGGUUCACAGGUUCAGAUCCCUGGCACGGACCUGUGUACCACUUUUCAAGCCACGCUGUGGCAGCAUCCCACAUAAAAUAGAGGAAGAUGGACACAGAUGUUAGCUCAGGGCCAAUCUUCCUCACACACACACACAAAAAACAAAAACUGGCUCGGUGUGUGAAGCAUUAGAUGGUGAUGAGCGCUGGGAAGAAGAUACAGCAGGGAGGGGCAGGGGGCAGAGCCGGGCAGGGGACUCGUGGUGCCACCUGAGCACAGAAGCACAUAUGCUGUGAGGGGAGGGCGGGCGGCCCUCUGGGUGGACAUUCCAGGCAGCGUGGACGCAGUGGUACCAGCCUGAGGAGGCCUUGCGUCUGCCGGGUGAGAGGAAGGGGAAGGAAGCCACUGUGGCCACAAGUGAGUAAGCGAGGCGGGAGGGUGGGACGUGAGGCAGAAAGGUGGGUUUGGGGGCCGAGUCACGCAGGCCCUUUGGGGCCUUUUCACUCGGGGAGAAGGAGGAGGCCAUAUGCGCGUUCUGAGCAGAAGAGUGAUUAAAUCAGACCCAGUUUUUAACAGGGUCAUUCUGAGUGUUGGGUGGAAGCAAAGAGCCCAGUUAGGAGGCCAUUGCUACACUUUAUGUGAGAUGUGAUGGGAACUUGGACCAGGGUGAUGAGGCAGAGGUGGGAGAAGGUAUAGGGUGUGUUUUGAAGGUAAAUCGACAGGAUUUGGAUGCCAGGUGUGAGAGAAAUAGAAAAAGUGCAAUCUCCGGGCCUGAGCAUACGGAAGGAUAGAAUUGCCACUUACUGGGUCAUGACAGACAGUGGGGAGCAAGCUGUCGGGGAAGGUCAGGGGUUUGGGUUCAGACGUUUGUUGAGCAAAUUGCCCAUUAGACACCCGAGUGGGAGUCCAGGAGGCAGUGGGUGAGGUCUGGAGUUCACACAGGGUCCAGGCUGCAGGUGUCUGGGAGUUUGCAUUUCUAACAAGCUCCCUGGGGACGCAGAUGUGGGUGCUGCUGUGUGGAGCCCACGUUUUGAGAAGCACUGGAAUAGGGAAAUACGGUGGGACUGGCAGGCCACCUGAGAGAGGCGCUGAGGUUCCAUGUCCUGCCGUUCUGUCCAGCCGUAGCCAGCUGCUCAGGAUCAGGUCCAGAGCAGGCGCAAGGUUAGAUUGCACCACGAUAGGGGUGAAAUUAUUCCAGGUAAAUAGAGCAAAGGGUUACUCAGCACAGCGUCUAGUACGUGGUACCUGCCCCAAACCUAAGUUACUACCCAGCACCAGCCUGCCCUUAGGAUCCUGCCUCCCAGCGGACAGAGGACCCUCUCCCCGGCUCUGGGCCCCCACACCUGAGUCUGGCUUUAUGACCUUGGGCGAGUUUCUCAGCAUCUCCAAGCUUUCGUCUCUUCAUCUGUAAGAUGACCCACUAACCACCCUGCUUCAUAGAGUUUUGGGGAACUUUACCCGAGAGUCUGCAUGCGAACCGCUCAGUACAAGUCCGUCACACAGGAGCGGCAGACGUCAACAAUCCUCAGAGGCCCGCAGAGGAGGAGGUGCUGGAUGCAAAUGAGCUCUUGGCGUAAAUCUGUCCACCGAAGCCCACAGCCGGCAGAGUCUUCCAGAUUCACGGUACUUCCAUCCCAUUAGCCAAAGCAAAUCCCAUGGCCAAGUGCAGCCCCAGUGUGAGAGGGCCCCACCCAGUGCCUGGACGCAGAGAGGCCAUUGAUUGGCACCAGCCGUGAAUUCCUGUGGUUGGGUAAAAUCUCACCCCAGAAUUUAGCAGUGUAAAACCACCAGUUAUCACGGUCAUGGGUUCUGAGGGUCAGGAGCCCUGGCCCGGCACGACAGGGGCAGCUCCUCCCUGCUCCACGGUGACUGGGGUCUCAGCCCGAAGACUGGAAAGCUGGACUCAUUCGAGGGCUCCUUCCUGCCUGCGUCUGGCAGUCCGUG
ensembl:lncRNA